rnacentral:rRNA from 1 species
AUUGAACGCUGGCGGCAGGCCUAACACAUGCAAGUCGAGCGCGAAAGGUUUUCGGACUGAGUAAAGCGGCGGACGGGUGAGUAAUGCAUGGGAAUCUGCCUGGUAGUGGGGGACAACGUUUCGAAAGGAACGCUAAUACCGCAUACGCCCUACGGGGGAAAGGGGGGGAUCUUCGGACCUCUCGCUAUCAGAUGAGCCCAUGUCAGAUUAGCUUGUUGGUGAGGUAAAGGCUCACCAAGGCGACGAUCUGUAACUGGUCUGAGAGGAUGAUCAGUCACACUGGAACUGAGACACGGUCCAGACUCCUACGGGAGGCAGCAGUGGGGAAUAUUGGACAAUGGGCGAAAGCCUGAUCCAGCCAUGCCGCGUGUGUGAAGAAGGCCUUAGGGUUGUAAAGCACCUUCAGUGGGGAGAAAGGUGGUUCACCUAAUACGUGGAUUAAUUGAUGUUACCCACAGAAGAAGCACCGGCUAACUCCGUGCCAGCAGCCGCCGUAA